UACGAAGGGGGCUAGCGUUGCUCGGAAUCACUGGGUGUAAAGGGUGCGUAGGCGGGUCUUUAAGUCAGGGGUGAAAUCCUGGAGCUCAACUCCAGAACUGCCUUUGAUACUGAGGAUCUUGAGUUCGGGAGAGGUGAGUGGAACUGCGAGUGUAGAGGUGAAAUUCGUAGAUAUUCGCAAGAACACCAGUGGCGAAGGCGGCUCACUGGCCCGAUACUGACGCUGAGGCACGAAAGCGUGGGGAGCAACAGG
rnacentral:rRNA from 1 species